UACGAAGGGGGCUAGCGUUGUUCGGAAUCACUGGGCGUAAAGCGCACGUAGGCGGCUUCUUAAGUCGGUGGUGAAAUCCUGGAGCUCAACUCCAGAACUGCCUUCGAUACUGGGAGCUCGAGUCCGGGAGAGGUGAGUGGAACUGCGAGUGUAGAGGUGAAAUUCGUAGAUAUUCGCAAGAACACCAGUGGCGAAGGCGGCUCACUGGCCCGGUACUGACGCUGAGGUGCGAAAGCGUGGGGAGCAAACAGG
rnacentral:rRNA from 1 species